UCCCUGGUGGCUCAGUGGUAAAAGCAUCUGCCUGCAAAGCAGAAGAUGUGGGUUCAAUCCCUGGGUUGGGAA
rnacentral:tRNA from 1 species